GGGCACAGUAAGCCUGAGGGUGCUGCAAGCAGAGAGGCUGGGAGGACCAUCUACCUGGUAGUUCUCAGCAGGAGAAGCAGAAAGAUAUCAUGUCCCUCAACCAUGCCCUUCGCUGGUGGAUCUGAUAAUGUCACCCACACAGAUACCCACUGUUCCUUGUGAGGUACAAGACGGCGUGCCUGCGGUGAAGGCAACACAUGGAGCAUCCACUGGGAAACCCCAUGUUCCCAGCCGCGUCCCAAGUAAAACAAGCUGGUAAAGACGCCAAAAUGAAGAGGGACAUGGAGCCAGGGCAGACCCACGUCUCGCCUUCUGAAAAACACGUUGAGACCAGAGCCAGAAUGUCCGCACCCAUGGCUUCCUUAAAAGACAACUUUCAAGUUCAGAAUUAGCAAAAGCUCCACAGCCCCUCUCUACGUUAACACCUGCAAGUGCAUCAAUCACCUCUUAUUUUAGGAGUUUAUUUACUUCAUUUAACUUCACUUCUGUUUAAUCCCCCCUCCUUGUGUCUCCCACCAAGUCUGUGGGCUGUUAGGCUUAGACUAGUCAAGGCCUUCGCAGAGGGGCUUGCUGCACACUGAGGCAGAGCACAGGCACCAGCGUUUGACACGAAGGCGCACGACUCAGACCGUCAGAACCAACACCAUUCCCCACGAGGGCAGCGGCACCUGCCACCACGUCACUGCCAGAGCCAAGGGGGUCUGCGGCUCUCUCCUCAUCCCUAGGCAGAUUUUUUCCCCUUGGGCAUGAAUUUGUGUUAUGUAUAAAAUUUUUUACAUAAAGGAAUCCUUAA